rnacentral:rRNA from 1 species
AAUCAACGCUGGCGGCGUGCCUAACACAUGCAAGUCGAACGGGAAAACGGGGGCAACCCCGUGAGUACAGUGGCGUACGGGUGAGUAACACGUGACUAACCUACCUUCGAGUGGGGGAUAACCCCGGGAAACCGGGGCUAAUACCGCAUAACAUCGUAAGAUCAAAGGAGCAAUCCGCUUGAAGAGGGGGUCGCGGCUGAUUAGCUAGUUGGUAGGGUAAUGGCCUACCAAGGCGAUGAUCGGUAGCCGGCCNGAGAGGGCGCACGGCCACACUGGAACUGAAACACGGUCCAGACUCCUACGGGAGGCAGCAGUGGGGAAUUUUGCGCAAUGGGGGAAACCCUGACGCAGCAACGCCGCGUGGAGGAUGAAGUCCCUUGGGACGUAAACUCCUUUCGACCGGGACGAUUAUGACGGUACCGGUGGAAGAAGCCCCGGCUAACUUCGUGCCAGCAGCCG